GGCCCUGGAAAGCCAAAAUUUGGCAGCAGCCUCUGAGUCUGGUGCAGGCUCAGGCAGCCCAGCAGCUGGAGGACACGUGCCCAGCACCCAGCAAGGCCCACAUGAAGAAUAAGGACUGCCACCACCUGCCAGCAUGAGGAACUGGGAGGGAAAAUCAGCAAGGAUAUACAGCCACGUAUGGUCCCAAUUCCUCUGCGAGAUGUAAGAUGUGCCUUGGCUCUGCGACAGUCACAGGACUUGUUAAAAGAGAUGCAAACCAAAGAAGACUGGCACAGCUUGUACUGUCUUACCCAGUCUAGCUUCAUUCUGUCAGGGAACAUCAAUUAAAUCAGAUGAAGAAAUUAGGGAGCUUUUGUCUAGCUGGUGAGUUAAAUAAAUAUUGAUUAAAAUAAAAUUAUUGCUAAGCAGAUGAGUCAAAAUAACCACCAUACCAAUUCGUAUGUUUAUAUAAAGCCAAGUGGUGUGGGAAUACAAGUGUCAAAUAUAGGCCCAGA